AUUGAACGCUGGCGGCAUGCUUUACACAUGCAAGUCGAACGGUAACAGGCCUUCGGGUGCUGACGAGUGGCGAACGGGCGAGUAAGGCAUCGGAACGUGCCCAGAGGUGGGGGAUAACGCAGCGAAAGCUGUGCUAAUACCGCAUGUGAUCUGAGGAUGAAAGGGGGGGACCAGGCAGCAAUGUUUGGCCUCGCGCCUUUGGAGCGGCCGAUGUCAGAUUAGUUAGUUGGGGGGGUAAAGGCCUACCAAGCCGACGAUCUGUAGCUGGUCGGAGAGGACGACCGCCCACCUUGGGACUGAGACACGGCCCAGACUCCUACGGGAGGCAGCAGUGGGGAAUUUUGGACAGUGGGCGCAAGCCUGAUCCAGCAAUGCCGCGUGCGGGAAGAAGGCCUUCGGUUUGUAAACCGCUUUUGUACGGAACGAAAAGGCUCUGGCUAAUACCUGGGGCUGAUGACGGUACCGUAAGAAUAAGCACCGGCUAACUACGUG
rnacentral:rRNA from 1 species